AACGAACGCUGGCGGCAUGUCUAACACAUGCAAGUCGAACGAGACCUUCGGGUCUAGUGGCGCACGGGUGCGUAACGCGUGGGAACCUGCCCUUAGGUUCGGAAUAACUCCCCGAAAGGGGUGCUAAUACCGGAUAAUGUCUUCGGACCAAAGAUUUAUCGCCUUUGGAUGGGCCCGCGUUGGAUUAGCUAGUUGGUAGGGUAAAAGCCUACCAAGGCGACGAUCCAUAGCUGGUCUGAGAGGAUGAUCAGCCACACUGGGACUGAGACACGGCCCAGACUCCUACGGGAGGCAGCAGUGGGGAAUAUUGGACAAUGGGCGAAAGCCUGAUCCAGCAAUGCCGCGUAAGUGAUGAAGGCCUUAGGGUUGUAAAGCUCUUUUACCCGGGAUGAUAAUGACAGUACCGGGAGAAUAAGCUCCGGCUAACUCCGUG
rnacentral:rRNA from 1 species